rnacentral:ncRNA from 1 species
AAAAAAUUUGAUUUUAGUUUUUAAAUUUAAUUUAUAUUUUUAUUAUAUAUAAAUUUUUGUAAAUAAAUUUAUUUAAAUAGUAAAUUUUAAAUAAUAAGUUAGAUGUAAUAAUUAAAUUUAUACAAUAAAAGUAAUUUUGAUAUAGAAAUAUAUAAUAGUAUUGAUAAAAUUUGUGCCAGCAAUCGCGGUUAAACAGGUGAUACAAUUAAAUUUUAUUUAAUAAUAAUUAAUAAGGAAAAUUAAAUAAUUUUCAAUUAGAUUUAUUAGGUGAAAUUAUAAAUUUAAAUAAAGUUAAUUAAAAGAUUAUGAGAUUAUGAAAUUUUAUAAUUAAACUAGGAUUAGAUACCCUAUUAUAAAAAAUGUAAAUUUAAAAAUGUUAGGGGAGUAUUAGUUAUGUUCUUGAAAUUUAAAAAAUUUGGCGGUAUUUUAGUCUAUUCAGAGGAACCUGUUCUAUAAUUGAUAAUCCACGAUUAAUUGUACUUAAUUUAAAAGUUUAUAUAUCGUCGUAGGUUGAAUAUCUUAAAAGAGAAAUAAUAUUCAUAAUUUAAGAUAAAUAAAGAAAAUCAGAUCAAGGUGUAGCUUAUAAUUAAGAAGAAAUGGGUUACAAUAAAUUUAUUUAAAUGGAUAUUUUAAUCAAAAUUUUAAUUGAAAUUGGAUUUGAUAGUAAAAUAUUUAAAUUAAAAUAUUUGAUUUUAGCUCUAAAAUAUGUACAUAUCGCCCGUCGCUUUCAUUAAAACUUAAAAUGAAAUAAGUCGUAACAUAGUGGGUGUACCGGAAGGUGUAUCUAGGGUGCA